rnacentral:rRNA from 1 species
UGGCGGACGGGUGAGUAAUGUCUGGGAAACUGCCUGAUGGAGGGGGAUAACUACUGGAAACGGUAGCUAAUACCGCAUAACGUCGCAAGACCAAAGAGGGGGACCUACGGGCCUCUUGCCAUCGGAUGUGCCCAGAUGGGAUUAGCUAGUAGGUGGGGUAAAGGCUCACCUAGGCGACGAUCCCUAGCUGGUCUGAGAGGAUGACCAGCCACACUGGAACUGAGACACGGUCCAG